GGAGGGUAUAGCUCAGUGGUAGAGCGUAUGCUUAGCAUGCACGAGGUCCUGGGUUCAAUCCCCAGUACCUCCA
rnacentral:tRNA from 1 species